CUACGGAGGGUGCAAACGUUGUUCGGAAUCACUGGGCGUAAAGGGCGCGCAGGCGGUUUGGUAAGUCAGAUGUGAAAGCCCACGGCUCAACCGUGGAAGUGCAUUUGAAACUGCCAGACUUGAGUACCAGAGGGGAAAGUGGAAUUCCCGGUGUAGAGGUGAAGUUCGUAGAUAUCGGGAGGAAUACCGGUGGCGAAGGCGACUUUCUGGCUGGAUACUGACGCUGAGGCGCGAAAGCGUGGGGAGCAAACAGGAUUAGAAACCCCAGUAGUCC
rnacentral:rRNA from 1 species